rnacentral:pre_miRNA from 1 species
ACAAUAGAUUUUGGAUUGUCGGUCUACCGAGCAAUUACACCCGCCCGGGGGAAGAUCUUACCUUUGUCGC